UUUUAAAUAUUUGUAAUUAAAUUUAAAUACUUUUAUGGGUUACGAAGAAUUUGCAGUGCGGUAUAGAGUGAGUACCGAUACCACUUAUCCUAAGCCGAGACAGGUAGACAGAUGAUCCGAAUUGUCGGGACUGAGGACUUUCCCUGCAUUAUCUAAAGAUCUACUUCUGAGAAAAAAUAUUUGUAAUACAAACUAUGAAAAACAAAUUUUAGUUCGUCUUAAACUCUCGAGUUGUGAACACAAGCGAAUUAUGGAAAGUGUUAAACUGCCCGCCAUUUUAAUAAACAAUAUUAUCGAAGUUAUAUCCUCUUCAGAAAAUAAAAUUACAGCAAAAUGUUUAUUAUGUGUUGGUGCUAAUAAAACUUAUAGUGGAUCACCGAAAGCCACAUCGAACUUUUUGAUUCACGUCAGAAGAAAGCAUCCAGAACGAAUGUCUACCAUUGAUGAAGUUACAAGAAAAUGUUCACUCGUUCUUUGCCACUAUUCAAAUUAAAUUGAAUUAACAAAGAUAAAGAAAAUGAAAAGUAUUCUUUUGUAAAACAAAUGUUGACCGAUGAAAUUCAAAAAGAAUUUAGCGAUGAUGUAUGUAAAGUCAAAUCGCCUCUUUACCAAGAUGCAAUUGUUUUCGAUUUUAUGAUGGAUACCAGUACUCACAGAGAUGAUGUGUUAGAGAAUACUGCAGUCAUCGAAAUUUUAACUUAUUUAAAGUCUUCGGAAAAAAACAUUUCAAUGUUAAAGUCAUAUCAAACAGUUUUGAAAAUGUUUAAAAAAUACAAUGUAAUUUUACCAUCUUCCGCUCCAGUUGAGCGUAUGUUUAGUGUAGGUGGCCAAAUAUUGACCCCUCAGAGAAAUAAAUUAUCUGAUGAACAUUUCGAAAAUUUGUUGUUUUAAAAAAUAAAUUAGAUUAAAAUGAUUAGAUAGGUUUUAGGAUACGUAAGUAAAUUAAAUUAGAUAGUGUUAUGAACAUGUAAAUAAUGGAGUGUUAUACUCGAAAGUAAAAGUUUUUGGAAAUUGCAGAUUCUGAAAGUAGACACAAAAUAAUGGCUAGUAAUAUCGGUCUGAGUUUUUUUAAAUCGGUACUUUUUUAGUAAUAAUAGAAAAUUAGCGCUGUGAUGUAAACAAUGUCUCGACUAAUGAUUCGUCAAUCUUUUGCUGCAUACAAUUAACGCUACGACCUACGUUUGGGCUGGUAAACGUCAAAUACAAACGUCAAAACCGUGCGUUGUUUAUUGUGACUGUAUUGUGUGAUAAUAUUUUGCAGGAGUUUGUGUUUUGGUAAAUUGACUGCUCCUGCAGCACAUCUGAAGUCGUAUGUAAAACAACAGAGGCAGACAUAAAGAAAAGACGUACGUCUUUCAAGCUAUCUUUGUUGGCAAGUUUUCUAUCUCAAGUUCUGUGACUGGCUGAUUCAAAAAGGAACAUUGCUGACGUCAGUCCAGGAAUUUUCACCUUUUUAAUUAUUUUUCUCAAAAACGGUAGAGCUUUGGUUAAAAUAAAAAAAUAUGGGUCGCCUAUUUUGUUGUUGGCUAUCCAUAUAAAAAUUUUCAUUUUUUAGUAUAACACUCCAUUUUGUAUUAGUAUUGAUGUAUGAUUGUAUAUUGUGAUUGUAUGCUCUACUGACUAUUUUCCUGAAACAAAAUGUAAAUAAACAGUUUUUUAAU